AGGACGAACGCUGGCGGCGUGCUUAACACAUGCAAGUCGAACGGGGCCGCUUCUUCGGGGGUGGUUCAGUGGCGAACGGGUGAGUAACACGUGGGCGACCUGCCCUCAGCUUCGGGAUAACUCCGGGAAACCGGGGCUAAUACCGGAUGGGACCUGCUGGUGCAUGCUGGUGGGUGGAAAGUUUUUCGGCUGGGGAUGGGCCCGCGGCCUAUCAGCUUGUUGGUGGGGUGAUGGCUUACCAAGGCGACGACGGGUA
rnacentral:rRNA from 1 species